rnacentral:rRNA from 1 species
UACGGAGGAUGCAAGCGUUAUCCGGAAUGAUUGGGCGUAAAGCGUCCGCAGGUGGCAAUGUAAGUCUGCUGUUAAAGAGUCUAGCUCAACUAGAUAAAAGCAGUGGAAACUACAUAGCUAGAGUACGUUCGGGGCAGAGGGAAUUCCUGGUGUAGCGGUGAAAUGCGUAGAGAUCAGGAAGAACACCGGUGGCGAAGGCGCUCUGCUAGGCCGUAACUGACACUGAGGGACGAAAGCUAGGGGAGCAAACAGG